UACGUAGGGUGCAAGCGUUGUCCGGAAUUAUUGGGCGUAAAGAGCUCGUAGGCGGUCUGUCACGUCGGCUGUGAAAACCCGAGGCUCAACCUCGAGACGUCGGCGGAAACCAUCUGGCUAGAGUCCGGAAGAGGAGAGUGGAAUUCCUGGUGUAGCGGUGAAAUGCGCAGAUAUCAGGAGGAACACCCGUAGCGAAGGCGGCUCUCUGGGACGGUAUUGACGCUGAGACGCGAAAGCGUGGGGAGCGAACAGG
rnacentral:rRNA from 1 species